UCCUACGGGAGGCAGCAGUGAGGAAUAUUGGUCAAUGGUCGGGAGACUGAACCAGCCAAGUAGCGUGAAGGAUGACGGCCCUACGGGUUGUAAACUUCUUUUCCGCGGGAUUAAAGUGCGCCACGUGUGGUGUUUUGCAGGUACCGCGGGAAUAAGCACCGGCUAAUUCCGUGCCAGCAGCCGCGGUAAUACGGAAGGUGCGAGCGUUAUCCGGAUUUAUUGGGUUUAAAGGGAGCGUAGGCGGGAUGCCAAGUCAGCUGUGAAAAGCCGCGGCUCAACCGUGGUCCUGCAGUUGAAACUGGCGUUCUUGAGUGCACUAGAGGGCGGUGGAAUUUGUGGUGUAGCGGUGAAAUGCUUAGAUAUCACGAGGAACUCCGAUUGCGAAGGCAGCCGCCUGGAAUGCAACUGACGCUGAGGCUCGAAGGUGCGGGUAUCAAACAGGAUUAGAUACCCUGGUAGUCC
rnacentral:rRNA from 1 species